rnacentral:rRNA from 1 species
CCCGCCGGCGACCGGCGCACGGGUGAGUAACACGUAUGCAACCUGGCCGCCACAGGGGGAUAACCCGCGGAAACGCGGCCUAAUACCCCGUGACGCCACCGGAGGGCAUCCUCCGGUGGCCAAAGGAGCGAUCCGGUGGCGGAUGGGCAUGCGGCGCAUUAGCUAGACGGCGGGGUGACGGCCCACCGUGGCGACGAUGCGUAGGGGUUCUGAGAGGAAGGCCCCCACACUGGGACUGAGACACGGCCCAGACUCCUACGGGAGGCAGCAG